AUUGAACGCUGGCGGCAUGCCUUACACAUGCAAGUCGAACGGUAACAGGUCUUCGGAUGCUGACGAGUGGCGAACGGGUGAGUAGUACAUCGGAACGUGCCUAGUAGUGGGGGAUAACUACUCGAAAGAGUGGCUAAUACCGCAUGAGAUCUACGGAUGAAAGCAGGGGAUCGCAAGACCUUGUGCUACUAGAGCGGCCGAUGGCAGAUUAGGGAGUUGGUGGGAUAAAAGCUUACCAAGCCGACGAUCUGUAGCUGGUCUGAGAGGACGAUCAGCCACACUGGGACUGAGACACGGCCCAGACUCCUACGGGAGGCAGCAGUGGGGAAUUUUGGACAAUGGGCGAAAGUCUGAUCCAGCAAUGCCGCGUGCAGGAUGAAGGCCUUCGGGUUGUAAACUGCUUUUGUACGGAACGAAAAGCCCCGGGUUAAUACCCUGGGGUCAUGACGGUACCGUAAGAAUAAGCACCGGCUAACUACGUGCCAGCCGCCGCCGUAA
rnacentral:rRNA from 1 species